UACGGAGGGUGCAAGCGUUAUUCGGAUUUACUGGGCGUAAAGGGCGCGUAGGCGGUUGAUCAAGUCAGAUGUGAAAUCCCGGGGCUCAACCCCGGAAGUGCAUCUGAAACUGGUCGGCUUGAGUAUGGUAGAGGGAAGUGGAAUUCCUGGUGUAGCGGUGAAAUGCGUAGAUAUCAGGAGGAACACCGGUGGCGAAGGCGACUUCCUGGACCAAAACUGACGCUGAGGCGCGAAGGUGUGGGGAG
rnacentral:rRNA from 1 species